AUUAACUGCAGCCAGGGGCUGGGCCAACGGCUCAAAAGGCGCUGGGCCCAGAGUGGCCCCACUUCCUCCUCGUGCCCCGAGGGCCAGCCCGGCGCCCAGGUAAGAGCCUUCCCUGCGGGGUUAGGUCCCUGCAGCCCCUCUGCCCACUCACCCUGGAUGCGCCCGAGCCCAGCCCUUCUAAGAAGAAAGGAAGGGCCCCGAGGCAACUCCUGGGUGACCCAAGCGAGUCGUUUCUGCCCCUGGGCCUCGGUUUCCAUCGAUGGAAACCUGAGUGGAUGACGGGGAUCUCUGCCGCUGCUCCUGCCUCUGCUAAACCAGGAAGCACCGCCAACGGUCCAAUGUGACCAAGAGGAGCCAAGGACUCUGGGUUCCAGUUUGUGCUGAAGCCCCCCAGGAGCCAGGCGCCUGCUCUGCACACCCCUUCUGCUCUCUUGACUGCCCAGGCCCCCGCCGUGGAGAGAAGCACGGCCCCCAGCCCUGCUCCAGCUCCCACAGUAGCCUCACUCCUGCGUGGGUUUUAUAACAUGGGGUUCUGAGAACAUUUUCAUUUGAAUAAAAAAGUUUCUGCUGCUAAAACAUUAGUGUUUAAACAUUGGAAACACAGACCUAGGGAUAAAGUCCAAAUUGCUUAGUAAAUGGAAUGUUCUUGAGCCCUUUCUGUGUGCUGGGAGCUUGCUUACAUCAAUCAUCUGGAAUCACCCCAGCAACCUUGUGAGGUAACUGCUGUGAGGCUGGUCUGGGAGAUGAGAACAUGGGCUCAGAAAGGGUGAGCAUUUCGCUAAAGUCACAGAGCAAGUCGACCUUCUCUCUCUAAGGACUUGACGCGGCUGGCCAAGGAUCGGCCCCUUUCCCUCGCUCAUUCCCACACACAGCUUUGCUCUCCGUGUCCUGUCAGCCCCAUCCCCUCUGCUGAGGGCCUUCAGGGGUGACCCUCCUAUGACUGAACAAUCUGCUCCCCUCCACCUGCACCAGCUCCGUGGGCCUCUCUCUCUGCCUCCUUAUCUCAUUUUGUGCGGGGCUCAGAGCUCUAAGAGCUUAUCUUAUCCUUGUGCUGAUCCCAGAUUCCUUGAGAGCAAAGUCUGGGACUCAUUCAUCUUCCCUGGCCUGGCAGCCCAACACAGUAGGUGUUCGACAUACUCUGGCUGCGUGGAGGAUCUGAACUCUGACCCUCUCGGGGCUGUCAGGCCCCAGGCCUAGAGUGCUGGCUUCCGGGGGAAGGGGUGGCAGGCAGCCUCCUUCCCUGGGUUUACUCCUCCACCUGCCUCUAGGGAGCCCUCUGAUGGCUUUCAGAGACCAGAGGCAGACUCAACUCCCUCCCCCGGCCUCCUCCAUCGCCACUGACUUGUGGCCUUUCCCCAGCAAGCCCCAGGCCUGCGCACAUCUCACCUAGCCUGGAGAUCUCCAGGACGCCUCCCAGCUCACCACUAGAGCUGGCUUCGCCCUCUCCCCAACUCACUGGUCCCCAGGGUGCUGUGUGGCCUGUCUUAGAGCUCCCCUUACACCCCAUCACCAACACCCAGCUACUCUGCCCGCAGACUGAACCCCUAGGAGCAGUGGCCACUGACUUUGUUUCCUGCAGCCUCAGAGAGUGGCACAGAGUAGGUGUUUGAAUAAAUGCACGCUGAAGGAGUGAGUGAAGAUGCUUGGGGGAGGGGCGGCAGAAGCCUGGAGCAGUCAGCACAGUGCCUGCAGGGAGGAGGCCUCAGUAAAUUCCAGCCAGCCGCUUCCUCACUAUCUGCACUCAUCCGUGGACCAAGGUGAUGCUGACUAGGGUGGCUGAGAGUACACACAAAUUAACUGUCCUAAAGAAAGGACGUCAGGGAAGGACUGGUCAGAGUUGGGUGGCCUUGAUCGGGAAAGGUUCCCUGAAGAAGGUGAGUUGAGUUCACCUUUUGCUGAGGUGAAGCCCAGGAAGAGGUCGUGAGCACUGGAGGGGCGGAAGGCGUGACAGGGGCAACGGCGGGUGCGGAAAGGGGAAGCUGGCAUUCACGCGGUCUGCCCGGGAGCCCGCUCUUCUGCAAGCCGUACCCCCAGAGGCCACCAGCAGGGGGCGCCCGGGACCGCCUCGCCGCCCAGCCCUGGUUGCAGCGGCCAUCCCUCGGCCCCGCCCCGCCCGGACCCCUCCCGGUCCGCGGGACACCGUCAGCGCCCAGCACGCAGCGGCGGGUCCCCGGUGAACGUUCAGCGCGCAUCUCACACGUUUCUGGUGGGACGUUUAUUGUUACUUGAGUAUAAAACAAAUGUAUAGUAUAUAUUUCAAUGAAUAUAAAAUGAGUCCAUGUGUUACACCAUUGAAGAUAAGAAAAUCUGCCUUGCAGAGCUUCCUUGCAGGUGUCCUUGGAGGUGACCCCUUGAAGCUCCCCAGGUAAGCGCAAUGCUGACCUUUACCGUAACCGUUUCCUUGCCUUUCUCUGCAGUAUACCACCCAGGUACGUAGCCCAGAACAGUGUGUGUUGAUUUGGCCUGGGGUCGGUUAUUGAGUCAGUGGAAACUUGCGGCUGGGUCGAGUGGACUCCAGGUGGUUCCUGGAACUGUAUUUUGUUCCCAUUCAUUCACUGCCCACAGUGCUCCAUUGCAUGAGUAGAAUCCAGUUGAUUAUCCGGUGGACUGUAAAGGUACCUUGGAACUACUAGGUAAUGAGGGAGCAGAUACUGGACAAGGCCACAUGGUGCCUGAAAGAGGGGUGCCUUGUUACAGUGCAAAGCGGCUGGCUUUCGGGAGCUUUCGGAUCUUCGUUCUCCGACCAGGGAUUGAACCUAUGCCUGACUUCCAGGGAAUUCCCUUCUUUUUGUUUUUAACAGUCAAGAAACUUUCAGAAAAGCUGAGAGAGAAGUACAGGGAACAGCCAUACACCCUUCGCUCAGAUUCCUUCGCUCAUUUUGCCACAUUCGCUUUCUGUCUCAGACACACACACAUUUUUUUUUUUCUUUUCUGAACCAUUUGGCAGGAAGUUACCUCAAGUAUUUCAACAUGUAUCUCCUAAGAAAACUGACAUGUCUUACACAACCGCAGUAGUUACCAAAUUUAGGCCUGGCAUCUGUGAUGCAACACUGAUGCAACCCUGGGAUCUGAUAUGCCGGCCCCUUUCCGGUGUCUCUGAUUGUCCCCGUGAGCUGGGAUCAUGCCUCACGUUUGGUUGUUAGGUCUCUUUAGUCUUUAAUCUGGAACAAUCCACAGCCUUACUUUGUUAUUCAAGACUUUAACGUGUGAAGGACAGAAGAGCCUGGCGUGCUGAGGUCCAUGGGGUCACAAAGAGUUGGAAAAGACUGAGUGACCAGACGACGACAUUUUUGAAGAGUACAGGGCAGCUGCUUUGUAGAAUGUCCCUUAGUUUUUUCCCUCUUCUCCCCUCCCAUUAAGAAAACUUCAAAAACAGAGAAUCAAAUAUGUCCAUUAUAUAAAAUUUGGACAAUGUAGGGAAGUAAACUAAAAGAAAUAAACCAAGGAGAUCAAAUCAAUUGAUCCUAAAGGAAAUUAACCCUGAAUAUUCAUUGGAAGGGCUGAUGCUGAAGCUGCAGCUCCAAUAUUUUGGCCACCUGAUGUAAAGAGUUGUGUCAUUGGAAAAGACUCUGAUGCUGGGAAAGAAAGACUGAAGGCAGGAGGAGAAGGGGACGACAGAUGAUGAGAUGAUUGGAUGGCAUCAACGAUUCAGUGGACAUGAGUUUAACUCCAGGAGAUAAUGAAGGACAGAGGAGCCUGGUGUGCCUGCAGUCCAUGGGGUCACAAAGAGUUGGAUGCGGCUUAGUGACUAAACAACAACAGCAACAACAAAACCAAAAUUGCCCCAGCUCUUCUGACGCAAGAAUAGCCCUGUAGACAUUUCCUGUAAGCACUCGAGUUAGUUGCCUUUGCGGUCCUGUGCACUCUGUACACUAACACUUAAUUCUAGGAGGUGGGUGCUGUCCUUAGCUCUGUUUUACACAGCCUGUCCCAGAGACCCUGAGUUGCUAAAGAUCAGGUUCAAGAUAGGACUCGAACCUGGUGAUGCACUUGGCUCUUAGGCUGCACUGUUUCUCCAUAGCGGCUGGUUGUGUGUGUGUGUGUGUGUGUGUGUGUGUGUGUGUGUGAACCUCCACCCUACUGACAUUUUGGGUCGAGACCAGGUAUCUCUUGGCUGUAGGGGCUGUCCUGUGUUUUAUAAAAUCUUAGCCGCAUCUCUCGACUCCACCCACUUGAUGCCAGCAGAUCCCUCAAGCUAUGACAUUCAAGAAUGUCUCCAGACAUUGCCAAGGGUGUCCCCUGGGGAGAAGAGUCACCUCCAGUUGAGAGUCCCUUUGUGUGUGUGUAUGUAUGUGUGUGAAACCAGGUGACUUUAUAUUCAGUUUGAUAUCUGCUUGAAUGGCUACCCACUCCAGUACCCUUGCUUGGAAAAUUCCACGGACAUGGGAGCCUGGCGGGCUACAGUCCAUAGGGUCACAGAGUCAGACAUAACUGAGCGACUAACACUUUCACUUUUUCACUUUUCCCGGUUAUCUGUACUCCACGAUCACUCUAGUUUCCUUUCAUUUUCUUCUCAUGUCCUGUUGCCAGGAGUUGCCAAUCCAAUAAACGGGUGGUUGGCAAAAAAAAAAUCCGUUGCAGUAGUCGUCUUCUGUUGCCGCACAGCAAAUAACCACAAACUAAGUGGCUUAAAACAGUAGUCACUUAUUAGCUCACGGGUCUGUAGGGUCAGAAGUCCAGUCUCGAAUGCUGACGUCAGGUGUUGGUUGGGCUGAGUUCUCUGGGAGCUCUGGGAGGCAUCCGCUUCCAUGCCUGUUCUUGUCUGCUGGCAAGGAUGGUCAGGAGCCUGUCCUUGCGGCUCCAGAAGUAAGAUCUCCGUUUCCUUGCUGGUUGUCAGCUGAAGGCUGCUCUAGACUCCUAGAGCACCAGCAUUCUUCUCCAAGUGGUCCCCUCUAAUUCAAGCCAACAAGGGCAUACCCUUUGCCAUUCUUGCACUUUGAGUCUCUGACUUCCUCUGCCACCAGCCAGAGCUCUGCUUUUCAAGAGUUCGUGUGGCCCUCCCUGGUGUUCCUGUGAUUAAGACUCAGGGCUUCCACUACAGGGGGCAUGGCUUCAACCCCUAAUCAGGGAACUAAGGUCCCCCAUGCUAUGUGGGGGGCCAAAAACAACCAACCAAAACAACAAACCAAAAACUAAAGAGCUUGUGUGAUGAGGUCAGGUCACUGGAAUAACCUAUCUGAAGUCCACUGUACCAUCAAACAUGACCAGCUGCAGGAAUCAUAUUAAUCAUAUUCACAGGCUUUAUACAGGGUGUGUGCACCAGGGUGGGGGAUCUUGGGAACAUCUCAGAAUUCUGCCUACCGAAAUUACCAAAGGGUAAGACUCGAUGGACGUGAAUCUGAGUGAACUCCAGGAGUUGGUGAUGGACAGGGAGGCCUGACGUGCUGCGAUUUGUAGGGUUGCAAAGAGUCGGACAUGACUGAGCAACUGAACUGAACUGAACUGAAAGGGCUCUUGCAGGGGGAGGACUUGGGACCAAAGGGGAGGAGGCCAGGCUGGGUGAGCAGGAGAGGGAGGCACCACCCCAACUGGAUGGUGCCAGUUGGGGUACCAUCUGGAGGUACCAGUUGAAGGCUCGAGCCCAACUCCAGGAAGGGUCCCUUUGCAUUCCUGCCCCUUGAGAAGCCCCAGCACAUACUUCUGGGACCGAUCAUGGAGCCUGGGCAGAUAUGAGCCCUCCCUUCUCCCCCACUUCCGGUCCCUUUUCAGAUGACCCCGACCUGUCCUGAAGCUCAGGAUGAAGGCUAGGUCAGACGAAUGUUCCAGCAAGGUCAAAGGGAGGUGAGAAUCCGACUGUUGGCAGGGAAGGUGAGCUGGAGCGGCUGCGUGGACCACCCAGCUCUGAGUGACCUGGGUGGAGACCAAUUUGGGGAAAGGAGGAGAGAGGUGUUGGGUAGCAGAAAGGACUGGAGGUGCUCUGGGACACGGAGGUGUAGGUGUGAGGGGCUAGGCCAGGGACCAGGGGGCAGGCUUGUUAAAGACAAAGAGGUUUCUGUGCCAUGGUGGCUGAGUGGGGCACACAAUUAGAGAUAGAAUUACUCUCCAGUCCCCAGCCUGUGGGGCCCAUGGUGAGGUUCAGGGCAGCCCCCAGUCAUGGGGAAACAGGGGAGAGAGGCUGUGGGGAGGGAAGAGGCAGCUGGAGCGGGAGAACACGCUUGGAGAAGACAUGAGAAAGGCAAGUGGCGGCACUCCCCCACAGAGGGCUAGGAGCGUUGCACCAGCGGGUGCAACAUCCGCACCCAUCACGUGCACUCUCAGUCUUCUGAGACCACGGGGACAGCAGGCUUACAACCACCAUUUUCAUCAAUGUAGAGUAAGGGGAUCCCAAGACCCUUACUUGAGAGUCCCUUAGACUGCAGGGAUAUCAAACCGGUCAAUCCUAAAGGAAAUCAGUCCUGAAUAUUCAUUGGAAGGACUGAUGCUGAAGCUGAAGUUCCAAUACUUUUGCCACCUGACACGAAGAGUUGACUCACUGGAAAAGAUCCUGAUGCUGGGAAAGACUGAGGGCAGGAGAAGGGGGUGACAGAGGAUGAGAUAGUUGGAUAGCAUCAUCAACUCAUGUACAUGAGUUUCAGCAAACUGUAGGAGAUGGUGAAGUACAGGGAAAUAUGCUUUACUGGCACGCUGCAGUCCAUGGGAUCGCAAAGAGCGGGACAGGUCUCACCGACUGGACAACAAAGACGCUGCCCAGGGAUCCCUGAUGGUAUUGCUGUAGAAGGCAGAACUCUCAGGUGAAAAUGAUAAACCACUUCCCUGGAAGUCCCCAGAUGUGAUGUGUCCACAGCAAAGGUCUGGAGAGCAGGGGUGGGAUGGCAGCCGAGCUCUCUGGGGAGUUUAGGUAAAAACCACACCCCUGAGAUCAGAUGGGCAGCUCCUGCAAGAUGCGGUCAGAGGCCGCUGAGACUGGGACACACGUUUGGAAGCCCAGCAGUGGGUGGCUUCCUCUAGCCCGCAGUGUAGUUUCAAUCAACAGUGCUUGAGGCCUCUGCAGCUCAGCUCUGCAAAGCAGCACGUGGCUAUACGUACACAGCACCCUGGCAGGGCCCCCCUGGCCGCAGAGCGAGCACUCCUGCUUCAGGGCAGAGUUCACCCCGGCUGGUACCCGGGCAAAGGCUCUUCAGACCCUCUUGAUUUGCUCUGCUACCAGCCUGACCUUGCAACUUCAAAUGGUUUGGGUGUGGAAAGAACACAGUGUUAAGAUUCCAAAGGUCCAGCUUCUCAUUCAACCCGGGUGACUUCAAGCAAGUCACUCAAUAUCCCCGAACCUCUGGGCUUUUUCCCACUGGGAUCUGAAGGCAGAGGGGACACCGUCCCCUCCAAGCUGGACCACGUCCUGACUGCUGCCGGACUCCUGCAGGGCCUCUGGAGCCCAGCAACCCUCCCGGAGCCGUAGUGCCUAGUGCCACGUCCUUGAGUCUUCCAAAGAGGGGGCCCGUAGAAGUGGAGAGGAUGCCCUCUGGCUGGUGCUGGAGCCCCCAGCCCGCAAAAGAACAGAACUCCGUGGUUUUGUUUUUUUUUUUUGCCACACCCCAAAGCAUGUGGAACUUCUCCAACCAGGGAUUGAACCUGUGCCCCCUGCACUGGAAGCUUGAAGUCAUAACUAUUGGACCACCAGGGAAGUUCAGAAUUCUUUAUUUUGUUUUGGCAAAAGUGAUCUGUUGGCCAAAUCUAUUCCUCAUGACUGAGAGAAAGAAAACUGUGCUUAUAUGCAAACUUUCAGUGGAAAGAAUAAACCACUUCUGAUCCUGGGGACAAACCUGUGUGUUAUUGUUUUUUUACAGCCUGAUGCUUCUGCUAUGUUUGGAGAAAAAUUGUUUUCUUUUCUUUUUUUUAAAAGUUGUUUUUAGGAGCCAUAUAGACACUGCUCUAGACCAGGCCAUCAUGGGGCUGAGCAGACUGGUUGGAGGGUAAGCAGCUGACCCCCUUCUGCUAGCUGGGAGCAGAGGAGAUUUAGCAUCACCCAAGACAGGGUUUGGCAGGGGGUGUAUGCGAAUUUGAAGGAAGAAACACUGGGAGUGGGGGAAUGGCCAUCAUUUCUGAGCAAAAGGAAAAUAUUUGAAUUCUUCUUUACCCUUUUGUCAGGGAACCAGGCAAAAACAGAAAGUAAAACGGGAGAAACCAAAAGUGAAAUGGUUCAUUCAUGUCUGAUGAAACCUUCCCACCAAAUAGAAACUAGCCUACAAAAAAAUUAAAAAAGGAAAGAAAGUUAGGACAUUUUCAGUCUGGG
ensembl:lncRNA